AACGCACAUUGCACCUAGGGGUAUUCCCCUAGGUAUGCCUGUUUGAGCGUCAUUUCAACCCUCAAGCUAUAUUUUGCUUGGUGUUGGUGUUUUCUGUCUACAGAAUCGCCUAAAGUCAUCGGCGGGAUAGGUAUUAAUACCGAGCGUAGUAAUUUUUGCCUCGUUUUGGUUUUGGUAUUUAAUAUUCGCCGUUAUACAAAACAAUUAUAGGUUGACCUCAAAUCAGGUAGGAUUACCCGCUGAACUUAA
rnacentral:misc_RNA from 1 species